rfam:Dipodomys ordii contig_41276, whole genome shotgun sequence.
AGUAUGGUGGCUCAGUGGUAGAGUGCUUGCCUCACACGCAUGAGGCUCUGGGUUCAAUUCCUCACCACCACUU